UGGAAAUAAUUGAGACGCAGCUACAGA
rnacentral:piRNA from 1 species